rnacentral:rRNA from 1 species
GACGAACGCUGGCGGCGCGCCUAAAACAUGCAAGUCGAACGAGAAGCCCGGGCUUGCCCGGGUGGACAGUGGCGAACGGGUGAGUAACACGUGAGGAACCUGCCCCGAAGACCGGGACAACACCGGGAAACCGGUGCUAAUACCGGAUACCUUCACCGGAUCGCAUGGUCUGGUGAAGAAAUGGAUUCCGCUUCGGGAUGGCCUCGCGGCCUAUCAGCUUGUUGGUGAGGUAACGGCUCACCAAGGCAACGACGGGUAGCUGGUCUGAGAGGAUGUCCAGCCACACUGGGACUGAGACACGGCCCAGACUCCUGCGGGAGGCAGCAGUUAGGAAUCUUGCGCAAUGGACGAAAGUCUGACGCAGCGACGCCGCGUGCGGGAUGAAGGCCCUCGGGUUGUAAACCGCUUUCAGCAGGGACGAAAUUGACGGUACCUGCAGAAGAAGCCCCGGCCAACUACGUGCCAGCAGCCGCCGUAAGAC